GCCUUAGUGGUGUAAGAGCAACACACUCGGCGCAUAUUCGAGAGGUCCAGGUUCGAGUCCCGACGAGGGCA
rnacentral:tRNA from 1 species